ACUUUGCAUCUUUCCUCCCCUGCUUUGAUACAAACUGGAUCCCUAGCUAUGAAAUGCAGCCACUUCUGGGGUGGAGCCAGUGACAGCAAUGGAGCUGAUAUGUAACACAGUGAUGAUAAUAAGUUUAUGAACACUGUGUGCGACCUAGUCAGUGAUGGGAAGUUAUUGCCUGUUGGGGCUCCUCACAGGGUGGCUGGUUCUUUAACAGGAAACAGGUCUUAGCCCCGCCUGUGACAUUGUUAAUUCUCUUUCCCCAGGUGGGGAAAAUCAAGAUGGGUAAUUGAUACAAUCAGGACUCUGGGAUAAAUAAAGGAGAGGCUUAAAGAAGGUGGCAGGGUAGUAAGGUGCCUGUAGGCUAUCUUGAGCUACCAGGGGAGGACUAGAAGAAUGGGUUUGCCUGGGAUCUCUAAGCCAUAGAGAAAACAACCCAGGGAGAAUUUUGGAUCCUCUCCUAGGUGGGGGAAGAAGGACUCCAGAUAGGAACGCCUGAGGGUGAUGCUUGCAGAGCCCCCAGACUAGCAGAAAAUGCAAGAGCUGACCCUGGAGAGACCAGAGCAGCAGGAUUUGAGCCUGAGUCAGACCUGCUGAGGUCACCACAGAUCCCGGCUGGCAAAACGUAUAGCAACCCUGUGACACCAUGAAGUUGCAGAGCCCACUUUGCAAACCAAUUGGAAGGCGCUCCCGCCCCAGUGACUAAGACUAGUGUGGGAGUUUUGCCUAAAUGAAUUGACCAGAAUACGAAAAUCCCAACCAAACAAACUGUUAUUAGUCAUCACUACUAGUAAAUUGUAAAUAAAGCUUGAACCUGUGGGAUAUAGUGUAUAAGCCACAACUGAGGACUUCUGCAAUGGAAAAAAUAUAUAUUUUUGUUUUAAAGAGACAAAACACCAGAGAAAUGUUCAGAGAUAAGGCUGUUGCCCCUCACUCAGUUUUAGAUAAAGAAAGA